GUUCUGAGUGCCUCUCUGCUCUGGUGGAGAGCAUGGCGGAGGCAGCUGGAUGCUAGACGCUGCCUGAGCCUGACAAGUGGAGAGAGCUCUCUUAGGAGGCCAGCUGCCAUGUCGUGCGUGAGCUGCCCCAUCUAGAGGCCGGCAUGGCAGGGAGCUGAGGGAGACUUCCAGCCACUGACUAGUGAGGACCUGAAGCCCUCAGAGAACAGUCUGCAAGAAACUAAUUCCUGCUAACAUCCGUGUGAACUUGGAAGUGAAUGUUUCCCAAUGGAGCCUUCAGGUGACUGGAGACCUGGUUGACAACUUGUCUGCAGCCUGAGAGAGACCCUGAAGCAGAAGACACAGCUGAGCCGCUCCUGGAUUCCUGUCCUACAGAGACUGUGAGAUAAUAAAUAUUGUUGUUUUAAACACCAUUCAAUAAAGACU